AAAAAAAAAAAAAAAAUUCAACUUGUGCAAUAAAAAGUAGGUCACAAAAGCUUUGAUGAUUUGUGUAUGAUUUGAUGUGUAUAUCCAGUUGUAGGUUCUGUUUGAUGUUUAAAUGUAUGGCUGUUACUUCUGUUGUGUUUUGCUUUCCUUCUGAACCACCAAAGAUGAGAAAUUGCUCCAUUCCAACAGGAAAGGAUCAUUAAAGUUUGAUUAACAGUUUUAGUGGGAUAUUCAGGGAAAUUAUUACUGCCCCAGGAAAAUUGGUCAUCCAGUUCUGAUCCCCAGGAGGGUGGUCAUCAAAGAAAAGUGUCUGAGGAGCAUCUGAUGAGAGUAGGCAAGUGUCAGAGCUCAUCUGACAGAGAAAACAGGAGGUUUUAAGAAUAAAGAUUUCUCUUUUUGAGAGAGGAGAUGAACUGUAGAGCAUGGGGGGAGUGUAGUAAAUCUUCUGUGGUCCAGAAGAAAUGUAAACCAUCAGAGUGGAACUUGGGAUGCCCUUCACAACUCUGAACUGAAGCCUGAAGAACGCUUACGGUGGUAAGAAAACUGAACUAGGAAAUGCUUAAACAUGUUGAAUUUUUUUCUCAGCUCUGAGGUAUCUUUGGGCUUAACUAAAGACUGAAAAAAAAAGGUGAUUUUUCAGAACGCUGGUAAAUCCUAUGUCUGUGAUUUUGCUUUGCCUUUUGCAUCCAUGCCUAAAGGGGUAAAAUGCAAAUCUAUAAUGCUUCCGAAAUGAGGACACUUGCAGAGGAUGAGCUUAGGCUACUUGGUAGCGUCAGGUUCCUUGCUGGUCCUGAGACAGAAGGUCUAUUCCAGCCAGCCCUGAGUCUAUACGCAGUGUCAGGAAAUGUAAAAGAAUAUCUAAUCUGGCAUGUUAGGAGUAUGAAUUUGAUCAUGGAAACAUAGUGGGACAUGUGGCUAUGAGAGCAUCAUAGCUGAUACUUGUGCUCUAGAAGGUGCUUCAGGUAGGCCUUUGCUAUUCAAGAAAAUAGUAAUAAAUUCUGCAUGGUGCUCUGAAGCACCGACCUGCAAAAAUCAAUGCAGCAGAAGUGAGUGCCUUCAGGAGAAUCGUGCUGCCAGUCGCAGGAAGGGAGGUUUUGUUCCCAACGUUGCACGGCUUUGCUAAACCUGACCUACUCUUGUUCCAAGAUGACAACUUUAAGCAUAAGAGAUGCCCCAGGUGACAUUGCUCAUUUAUAAAAUUCCCUUUUGUUGGAUCAAAUUUAACAUGCUCUCCUGUUUCGAAUUAUCUCUUUGAUUAGCUGCAAAGUUUUGAUGUCUGCAGGAGGAGAACAAUUGCAUCAGUGUGCACCGUCAGCCAGGACUUGUGACUGCUGGGGGGUUGCUAGGAUACCUCUCUAAAAGGUUGAUAUAAAAUAGAAGCUCAGUAGAUGGAGACACUUCACACUGAAAUGUAUGCAACAGAGUCCCAACAAAGGAAGAUAUUUUACUCCACGCAAAGUCAAAGUCAACCAAGUACGGAUGACACCUGAUCUGGCAGUGUGACAUUUCCUUCCUUGAAAAGUCACAGAGUCUCUGAAAUAACUUCAGGACUACGUGGCAGCCUAUCACUGUCAUACCAUUGGAGUAUGAAACUGCAGGGUUUGUAUUGUGUUCUCUGGGAAGCAAAAGGGUACAAAGCCUAUUAGAAGACUUUGCUGGGAGUUAGAAUCAUAGAAUCAUAGAAUCGAUUGGGUUGGAAAAGACCUCCGAGAUCAUCGAGUGUAGAGAAGCAAGA